UACGUAGGGUGCAAGCGUUAAUCGGAAUUACUGGGCGUAAAGCGUGCGCAGGCGGUUUUGUAAGACUGUCGUGAAAUCCCCGGGCUCAACCUGGGAAUGGCGAUGGUGACUGCAAGGCUAGAGUUUGGCAGAGGGGGGUAGAAUUCCACGUGUAGCAGUGAAAUGCGUAGAUAUGUGGAGGAACACCGAUGGCGAAGGCAGCCCCCUGGGUCAAAACUGACGCUCAGGCGCGAAAGCUAGGGGAGCGAACAGG
rnacentral:rRNA from 1 species